UACGUAGGGUGCGAGCGUUGUCCGGAAUUAUUGGGCGUAAAGAGCUUGUAGGCGGUUUGUCGCGUCUGCCGUGAAAAUUCGAGGCUCAACCUCGAACUUGCGGUGGGUACGGGCAGACUAGAGUGUGGUAGGGGAGACUGGAAUUCCUGGUGUAGCGGUGAAAUGCGCAGAUAUCAGGAGGAACACCGGUGGCGAAGGCGCCACUCUGGGCCGAAACUGACGCUGAGGAGCGAAAGCGUGGGUAGCAAACAGG
rnacentral:rRNA from 1 species